UACCGAAAAAAGUAACUGGUUACUGGGUAACGAGUUACGUACAACUCUGGUCGCGACGCAUGUCUUCGCAAUAUUCUAGCAAGACUUUAGUCUACGGCUGCCAGGUUAUGGGCGAUUCCAUGAUGUUGCGACUGGCAAGUCGCGUGCUGUGUCGUGACAGGAGGCACUUGGAGUCACCUGUCCUGAGGUCUGGCGCUACAACCGCAAUGCUACUUGAGGGAAUCCAGAACUUCGGACGUCUUGAAUCCAGGGUUCUUCUGAUGAUUGGGACCAACAACCUGAAGCAGCUCAAGACUGCGGAUGAAGUGAUCCAGGGCCUAUCACAAGUGAUCCACAGCUUGAUGUCUCGUGGGGCGGACAUUUUGGUUUUCACCCUUCCGCCUUUGCCACUGGCGUCAAAAACGUCUACAUCAUGGCGCACUCUCACCGCUGUCAACGAGUGGAUAAUGAGU